rnacentral:lncRNA from 1 species
UCAGGAUUCAAGCAGCAGGAGUACUCCUUCUCAAUGGGUGAAUGAGGGUGUUUUAGUUAGCUUUUCCAUCACUGUCACCAAAAGACUUGAAAAGAAUAAUUUAAUAGGAGAAAAAAAUUUCUCUGGGGGCUCAUGGUUUCAAGGUUCUCAGUCCAUAAAUGGCCAACUCCAUUCCUAGGGGCCUACAUUGAGGCAUAGUAUCAAGGAGGAAGAGUGUGGUGGAGGAAAUGCUCUCAUAAACCCAAUCAUUACACCUCUAAAUCCUCUUGCACUGUCUCACACAUGAGUUUUGGGGGUACACCCAAUAUCUAAAUCAUAACAGAGGGAUUUCACUAAAAUUCAAUAUUGUCUGAGUGUCUUCGAAAUUUAGAAUCUUAGAUGCGUAGAAUUUAGAACAAGAAAGAGUACAUUGGAGCUAAAUCACAUUGUACUGCAGUAGCAGGGGGUCUCUAUAAAAAGGAUGGAUAACACAGAGAGAAACACAGUGGACAGAAUUGGCAUGGUAAAUGCUGGAGAUCAGAAACGCAGAUUAAACUCUGCUGUUCCAGAAGCUACACAGUGAACUGAUGUUUGGAAAAUUCUCUAUAUUUCUUAACUGGCCCUGGAAAGCUGAGGCCAUACUGUUCCAACAAGUGCCUAUAUGUGGGCUAGAGUGUACCUAGCAGAGAAUGAGUAAAACAAAUGCAAGGAUCGCACCCAGGUAAAUUUAAGUCAAAAAGAAAUAUGAAGCCAACUCAUUUUUCCCUUUGAAUCUGGCAGCUCACGUGACCAGUUGAAGAGAGAUGGGAAACUGAACAGGAGGGUGUAUACACUCAGGGACUAAGCCUGAGAAGUCUGUGUUUGUGGGUAGCAGAGUGUGUGGAUUGACUCGUCUGCUGCACAAGUGGAAUGCUUGGGAGCACCCUGACAUGCAAACUCCCAGCGAAAAUCAGCAUUUGCCAGGUCUUCAGGACUUGUUGGUCUGAUCUCUCCA